GGAGGCUGUGGCUCAAUGGUAGAGCAACUGCUGGGCAUGCAGAAGGUCCCAGGUUCAAUUCCCCACAGCUCCA
rnacentral:tRNA from 1 species